GAGCUUCUCUUGAUCCUUCCUCCUCCUUUAAUUAUCAUACUCCUUCUCUUUUGCCAAUCACCUUGACAAUUCUUAAGUGCUGUCUUUCUCAACUUCACCUCCUCUCUUCUCUUCUUAAUUUUGCUGUCCAUCUCCCCUGCCCUGUAUCUCAUUGUACUGGUGUUUCUGCUUUGUUACUCUCCCUUCACUGGAUCCUGUUUCCGCGUAUAAUCCAAUAUUAAGUUACUGCUUUUUAUUUUGGUUUUUUGAAUCUGUUCGCUGUUAUCUAUCAGCUCGAUCUCUCAUCUCUGUUUGUGUGCUUGUCACCUCUGCUCUCCUGAUACUCUUCUCUUGUCUAAAGCUUGGGAUACUCUUUCUGCUUAUGGUUUCACCCUUUCUCUCUCGCUUCACCCCCUUCUCUGAAACUCUCUGCGCACCUCGCCUCCUGGCAGGGAUUGAAAGCUGAAACAGCAUCUGAAAAAUGUAUUUCUUGGAGCACUCAAUUAAUAUGCUGCUUUGCUCUUAGGGACACAGGAAGGGCCAUGUUGGAACAUUUGCAUACAAAAGGUGCCAAACUCAAUCCCCAGCAUCUCCAGGUAACCCUCAGAGACCCCUGGCUGAAAACCUGGAGAGCUGGUGCCAGUUUGUGUAGAAAUGUAGAUAGUAUUGUGCUAUGGACCAAUGGGCUGAUUUUGGUAUAGGGCAGAUUCUUGCUUUGCUUUUCUGAGCCCUCACUGGAACUAAGGGGAUCCUGUUUUCAAAGGGCAGCAACAAAAUAAUAAUAAUUAUACAAAUGUUCCUCUUCAAACAGACCUUUGGCUGAUUAAUAUUCUAUCGCCUUUUGAAUGUGUUUGUUUUUGUUUAGCUGUUUAUUUUGUGUUUUGAUCCUGUAUUUUUAUGUUGUGAAAUGCCCUGAGAUCUUCGGAUGAAGGACAGUACAUAAAUUUAAUUACUACUACUACUACUACUACUACUACUAGGGACGAGGGUGGUGCUGUGGGUUAAACCACAGAGCCUAGGACUUGCCGAUCAGAAGGUUGGCGGUUCGAAUCCCCGCGACGGGGUGAGCUCCCAUUGCUCGGUCCCUGCUCCUGCCAACCUAGCAGUUCAAAAGCACUCAAUGCAAGUAAAUAAAUAGGUACCGCUCUGGCAGGAAGGUAAAUGGCAUUUCCAUGCGCUGCUCUGGUUCACCAGAAGCGGCUUAGUCAUGCUGGCCACAUGACCCGGAAUCUGUACGCCGGCUCCCUCGGCCAGUAAAGCGAGAUGAGCGCCGCAACCCCAGAGUCCUCCGCGACUGGACCUAAUGGUCAGGGGUCCCUUUACCUUUACUACUACUACUAUAAAUAAAAUAAAUGCCUUAGAGUGUGCAAAGCAUAUCACAUACAUUACCUUAAUAAUCUUUUCAACAACCAUAUGAACUAGAUCAAUAUUAUUUUACCCACAUAGCAGAUAGAGACUUGAGGAUCACAGAAUUGUAGAGUUGGAAGGGACCCCAAGGGUCAUCUAGUCCAACCCCCUGCAAUGCAGGAAUCUCAGCUAAAGCAUCCAUGACAGAUGAUCACCCAACCUCUGCUUAAAAACCUCCAACGAAGGGAGAGUCCACAACCUCCCAAGGGAGACUGUUCCACUGUUGAACAGCUCUUACUGCCAGAAAGUUUUUCCUUCAUGUUUAGUCAGAAUCUCAUUUUUUGUAACUCGAAGCCAUUGGUUCAAGGCCUACCCUCCAGAGCAGGAGAAAACAAGCUCUUCCAUGUAAUAGCCCUUGAGAUAUUUGAAGAUGGCAUAUCAUAAGAUGGCCUAGACUGUGGCUUACCUGAGGCCACCUAAUGAUUUCACAGCUCGUGUCGUGGGUCUCUGUGCUACCUGAGAAGCCAAAUAUGCUGUAGCAGAUGGGGACAUGCACACUGAGGCUUAGAGAGGGUGGCUUAUUUAAGGCUAGCUAUUGAUUUCAGGUGAGCUUUGCACCAGGAACUUGCCGGCUCAUAACCUCUGCUAUCCAAGAAGUCAAAUAUGGAAAGCAGCAGAAGCCCACGGCAAGAUCACAGUCGGGGUAUGGCAAAUUGCCCUGUUUCCAGAGGUGAAGCCCAUGGGUUUCUUGCUAGCGAGUGUAUAUGAACUCAGCAUGCAGCAAGCACGGGUGAUGUUAACAUUCCCAUCUGCCCACAGAAGCUUACAGACCGGGGGGGGGGGGUGAAGCUCUUGUAACUUACUGAAAUCCACACGCAGGUUGGGAAAUAUAAACCCACUUGCUCGUUCUGUACUCUUUAAAUAAUGCAAAAAUGUUAGGGCCGUCUGCUGAAGCUGUGUCUAAACGAGGUAAAUGGCUGAGAAAUGGAACACGUCUUUGGGGAGAUGAUUCUGGUGCCGUGUUUUGAUCUUCUUUUUCUUCUUCUUUUUUCCAAGGCUUUUGUCUGUGUCAGUUGAGUUCACAUGAAACAUAAACACAGUUGUCCAGAUAUGGGUUGGGAUGUUUAUUUCCUUCCUUCCUAUUAUCUGACCCAAAUUGUGAGGAAUUGGGGUAGGGGAAAUUAAAUUUCAUGCCCUGGCGGACCAAGAUACCAAACUCCCGCACCGUGCGUUCGGAGGAGAUAAGAUUUGAUUAAGAAAGGCCGCUAUUAAUUUGUGGCAAGUACACUUACUAUAACAGAGAGCUUGCUUUUAAUUAAUAGCCAGAAGGAAUUUUAAACUCCUGGUCUCAGCGGGGGGACAGAUAGAAGAAGGGGAAGACAAAUGUGAUCGGAACAAAGUGAGUUACAAAGAUUAAAGACGUGCCCACAAUUAUCCGCUAU